CCUACGGGUGGCAGCAGUGGGGAAUAUUGCACAAUGGGGGAAACCCUGAUGCAGCGACGCCGCGUGAAGGAAGAAGUAUUUCGGCAUGUAAACUUCUAUCAGCAGGGAAGAAAAUGACGGUACCUGACUAAGAAGCCCCGGCCAACUACGUGCCAGCAGCCGCGGGAAUACGUAGGGGGAAAGCGUUUACCGGUUUUCCUGGGGGUAAAGGGGGCGUUGGGGGCGAUGCAAGUCAGAAGUGAAAGCCCGGGGCCCAACCCCGGGACUGCUUUUGAAACUUUGUUGCUAGAUUGCAGGAGAGGUAAGUGGAAUUCCUAGUGUAGCGGUGAAAUGCGUAGAUAUUAGGAGGAACACCAGUGGCGAAGGCGGCUUACUGGACUGUAAAUGACGCUGAGGCUCGAAAGCGUGGGGAGCAAACAGGAUUAGAUACCCUGGUAGUC
rnacentral:rRNA from 1 species